CAAGUUGCCAGGUCUAGUUGUUGUUCAUUACUUCAAAUUUUUUUUCCAAACAGGAGAGAAUUAUUCAGAGGAACAAUGUUUCCCGGGUUGCCUGAUCUCCAGUUAACUCAGCUGAAAGAGAGAAUUUGAAUGUAUAAAAUCCAGAUGUCACUUGCAGUAAUCUUUGCCAAUGGAUUGAAGGACCCUCCUUCUCUGGCUCAGUUUGUCCUGAUACUUGAUAGAGUUCUUCAACGGAAGCCAUAGCUUCUGUUGCAGACAAAUUUCGAGGGUUGAAGAAAUAAUCAUGGGCGUCCGCAAUCUUCACCUUGCCGACAUCCGUACAGGAAGGGCAUCUGUAUGAUGCCACAAUCUGCUGCGUUCUCCUUCCUUUUUGGAUUCUCCUAGAACAAGUCCUCUGCCCAUUUUCUGUAGUAAAUCAUGCAUCCACAAUCUUCCCCCUACGAUGCUUACUAAAGAUUUCUCACAAAGGAUGGUUAUGUUGAUGCCUGGAUAGUAGCCACAACUUUCAAAUAUCUUUUCUAGACGACA